rnacentral:rRNA from 1 species
CCUAUAAGACUGGGAUAACUUCGGGAAACCGGAGCUAAUACCGGAUAACAUUUGGAACCGCAUGGUUCUAAAGUGAAAGAUGGUUUUGCUAUCACUUAUAGAUGGACCCGCGCCGUAUUAGCUAGUUGGUAAGGUAACGGCUUACCAAGGCGACGAUACGUAGCCGACCUGAGAGGGUGAUCGGCCACACUGGAACUGAGACACGGUCCAGACUCCUACGGGAGGCAGCAGUAGGGAAUCUUCCGCAAUGGGCGAAAGCCUGACGGAGCAACGCCGCGUGAGUGAUGAAGGGUUUCGGCUCGUAAAACUCUGUUAUUAGGGAAGAACAAAUGUGUAAGUAACUGUGCACGUCUUGACGGUACCUAAUCAGAAAGCCACGGCUAACUACGUGCCAGCAGCCGCGGUAAUACGUAGGUGGCAAGCGUUAUCCGGAAUUAUUGGGCGUAAAGCGCGCGUAGGCGGUUUCUUAAGUCUGAUGUGAAAGCCCACGGCUCAACCGUGGAGGGUCAUUGGAAACUGGGAAACUUGAGUGCAGAAGAGGAAAGUGGAAUUCCAUGUGUAGCGGUGAAAUGCGCAGAGAUAUGGAGGAACACCAGUGGCGAAGGCGACUUUCUGGUCUGUAACUGACGCUGAUGUGCGAAAGCGUGGGGAUCAAACAGGAUUAGAUACCCUGGUAGUCCACGCCGUAAACGAUGAGUGCUAAGUGUUAGGGGGUUUCCGCCCCUUAGUGCUGCAGCUAACGCAUUAAGCACUCCGCCUGGGGAGUACGACCGCAAGGUUGAAACUCAAA